rnacentral:rRNA from 1 species
GACGAACGCUGGCGGCGUGCCUAAUACAUGCAAGUCGAGCGGAUCUCUUCGGAGAUCAGCGGCGGACGGGUGAGUAACACGUGGGCAACCUGCCUGUAAGACUGGGAUAACUCCGGGAAACCGGGGCUAAUACCGGAUAACCCUUCGGACCUCAUGGUCCGGAGCUGAAAGACGGUUAUGCUGUCACUUACAGAUGGGCCCGCGGCGCAUUAGCUAGUUGGUGAGGUAACGGCUCACCAAGGCAACGAUGCGUAGCCGACCUGAGAGGGUGAUCGGCCACACUGGGACUGAGACACGGCCCAGACUCCUACGGGAGGCAGCAGUAGGGAAUCUUCCGCAAUGGACGAAAGUCUGACGGAGCAACGCCGCGUGAGUGAAGAAGGUUUUCGGAUCGUAAAACUCUGUUGUUAGGGAAGAACAAGUACGAGAGUAACUGCUCGUACCUUGACGGUACCUAACCAGAAAGCCACGGCUAACUACGUGCCAGCAGCCGCCGUAAAAC